GUUGAAACACUGGUUCUCGUACGAUCACUAAAGUUAAGCAACGUCUAGCCGGUCAGUACCUAGUUGUGUGACCAUUUGGGAAGACCAGGUACUGUAAG